CUCUCUUACACCUCAUUUAAGGGCUGACUGCCACUAGGGAAGGCUCUCCUCCUGGAGAUCCCUCCUUAGUGAAGCUUUUCUCUGUGAACCUUGGAUCUUCUGACACAGGGUCAACUCUCUCCUCCCUCUUAGCCAUUUUAGGCCAAACUGCUGGACUCAGAAUUGCCCAAAUGAUAGCUGGGAGCAAUAUGCACCCAGCAAGGUCUCUAAUCUGAGUGAAAUAGAAGAAAGCAAGAACUGAAGGUUUACUAUCUCUUGGGCUACAACAGCAAGGUCUGCCCUGCAAUACCAGCUCCCUCCCCAACAGGGAAGCUCACCCUUUCUGCAGCAAACAUGGCAUCGCUUUCCUUGAACUCUGGAAACACGUGACCUGUGGGAGAACAGACAGCGCUCCAUUGUGAAAGGCUUCUCCUGUAUGUGGAAUAUCUUCAGUCCAGAUUCCACCAAUGCCAAGCUGAGACCCAAAGCCCAUUCCUUCUGCAAAGCUCCUCCAAAGCAGAUCUGCUUGGCAACUGUCCGCCCACCUUUGCCCCCAGCAUCCUUACCUUCAACCUUCAUUAUCUGAUAGGUGUCCUGCACCACCUUGUACUUGGGCUCAUUGCGGAAGGCGUGAGCCCAGGCCUGGAUAAGGUUCAGAAUCUUACUGCGGACACUUGUUUCCACUUGCCUCUGCACAGAAAGGGGAAGAAAAAAAAGAAAUCUGAAGAAAAACAUCCCUGAAACACAGAAGACGGGUCAAAUACUCUUCAUAGAAAGAGGAACUUGAAGUACUUGUGCCAGCAGGCUGCAAGCAGAACAGCUUACAGCAAGGACUACAUCUCCUUCAGCUUUCUCACUUUCUCACUUCAGCAUAAAUAGGAGGACAUCCUUCAGAAUGGCACAAAUCAACUUGAAAAGGGGUGUAGUGUCACAGUGCUUUUGGAAAACAUCUACAGAGACUCAUACAGUUGUUCCCCAGGGGAAGUGUAAGCACUGGCUGGCCAACAAUCUUGUUUACCCUCUCACAAGAGCUGAUCAUCCUGCACUCCAAAACCUGCAAAGUGACAGCUAUCAGGCUGGACAGGACAGCACAAUCUGAUUCUCCCCAGUUCUGAUAGGGCACCACAAACACAAAACAGGAGGCUGUUUGUGCCUAGCUGUCAGCAGCUCCAGCUUAGAGACUCCUGCCCGUUAGUACUCAAAACUAGUUUGGAUAUGAUGCAAUAAGGACAGCUGGGAGCCUGCCCUUUGCAGGCAGUUGUAUCACAGCUCAAGAACUUGCUCAAGAGGAAACUUGGCAAGCCCAUUCCUAUCCCAGUCAGCCUCUAAGUGCACCCUGUCAUCAGCUGACCAAGUCAUGGCCUGCUCACAUGACCAGUUUCAGCAGAAGUCACCCAGGAAGCAGAAAGGCAUUGUCAAUUUCCUAUUUCAGCUGAGAAAUUUUUUGUCAGGUUCCUAUUUUCAGCCCACGUAGCAGGACUUAGUAACAGUUCCUGGAGCUCCAAACUUACAGAAGAAUUGUCAAGAUCCUGCUUUCCACAAAUGGCACAGCCCUGAGCCUCAUCAGAACAAAGCAUUAGGUGUUCACAAGCAGCAACGUUCCCAGUGUAGGAUGGAAAUGCCUCUGCAAACUGCUGAGGCAGGUUCACAAAAUCUCUCAAUCCAAUCUGAUGUGAUUUACUCAGAGCCUGGAGUGGCUGCACUACUACACCUGGCCUUCACAUUGUGGCAGCAUUCUAAGUUCAACAGGAGAUACAGUAUGAAGGCUGAAUCAGCCCCCAAGAGGAAAAUGACAGAAGAGAGAUGCUCUGCUACGUUGCAUAAGAUGACAGGACUAGCACAGCUCACUCCACAAAUAUGUGGGUCAUCUACUUGUCUAUUUCCAGCAGGAGACAGGGAUAUAAAGAAGUAACAGCAUCACUCUAACAAGCUCUUGUCUGUGCACUGCUGUUUUUGGGACUGGAAACUGAAGAGGUUCUUAUUUGCACCUCACUUUUGGAAGUCUCAAGUCCUGGGACAUAAGGAGCUCCUGCAGGCAUCGUGUUAUCACACUGACAAGUGAUACAGGUCACCUGUAUCACCCCCCUGCUCACAUGAUAUCUUCUCUCCCCAGCAGGCACCACUCAGCUCUCUACACUCAUCCCUUUGUAUUAAACAGUACAGGUUGCUUUUCUCUGAAAAAGAUUUCCUUACACGCAGAGAAUGAAACACAGAACAUGCAUGUUUUUUUCCUUUCAUUGCCUCUCUUGCAACUUCAUUCAAAAACUGAACUAAAAUAACAUACGCUUACCUUGAGUAUUUCUUUCAGUUCCUCCAUAGUUUGUUUGUUGGCUACCUCAUCAUGAACUGUUUGACCACAGUUUUUAACCACAGACUCCAUAACCUGCAAGUGCAAAGGACAGCAUUAGCAUGUUGCUUUCUUCCUUCUCUGUGGUUUGCAGUGAAAGAACAAAAAAAGCUGCGUUUCAGUUACAGGUUCUUGCAGCAGGUGCACAAAGGGGGCACUAUUUAAGUAACAAUUCAAGUUAAGGAAGCAUCAAUUUGGAGAAAUCCACACCAUGAGACUGGAGCAUAAGCUAUGCUUCAGUUUAUACCAUUGCUAUUUACACCACAUGGGCAAGCAGACAGUUUCAUAAAGGUAGUCUCUCAAAUGCUUGCUCCAAGGCUGAAUGAAAAACACAAUCAUUCUUGAAGCCUCCAUGCUAGAGCUGGAAGAGAUGGGAAGUUCCCUGGCCUGUGAAUUGGGCCCCUAAAUCAUGAGAGGUUUAGGCUGAAGUUACCUCCAGUGCGUAGAGUGCCACGUGGGGAUUCUUGUCAUUGACCUU